rnacentral:rRNA from 1 species
ACUCAAAUGAAUAGACGGGGGCCCGCACAAGCGGUGGAGCAUGUGGUUUAAUUCGAUGCAACGCGAAGAACCUUACCUGCCCUUGACAUCCUACGAAGUUGGCAGAGAUGCCGAUGUGCCGAAAGGAACGUAGAGACAGGUGCUGCAUGGCUGUCGUCAGCUCGUGUUGUGAGAUGUUGGGUUAAGUCCCGUAACGAGCGCAACCCUUGUCCUUAGUUACCAACGCGUAAAGGCGGGGACUCUAAGGAGACUGCUGGUGAAGAACCGGAGGAAGGCGGGGACGAGGUCAAGUCAUCAUGGCCUUUAUGGGCGGGGCAACACACGUGCUACAAUGGCGCGUACAAAGGGAAGCCAACCCGCGAGGGGGAGCCGAUCCUAGAAAGCGCGUCGUAGUCCGGAUUGGAGUCUGCAACUCGACUCCAUGAAGUCGGAAUCGCUAGUAAUCGCAGAUCAGAACGCUGCGGUGAAUACGUUCCCGGGCCUUGUACACACCGCCCGU